GGCUUCAUAGCUCAGAUUGGUAGAGCAUCGCACUAGUAAGCGCGGAGCGUCAUGGGUUCAAAUCCCGUUGAAGCCA